UUUUCUUUCUUCCUCUUCAUUACUCGUACCCUAAACCUCUCCACGUCGACCCCUUCCCUUUCCCUCUUCCCCGAUCUUUCCUCUUCCCCUUCACUUCGUCUCCCCCCAACCCAAUCGCGUAGCCCUACACCAUACACCACUGUCGACUCCCGAUCCGCCAGUUUCCCCUUGUUCCUCAUGCGAACGCCGCGAACGCCACGAACGCCGCACCACCGCCGAUUGCGACGAGCAAUCGCCAAUGCCAAGCACUUGAGUCCCGUGCCCUAAAUAUUUUCCCUUCUCAUUGACGUCAAGCCCUAGUUUUUUUCUUCUUCGUCCUCAUCUCCUCUAUCGACCCCGACACUGCCGUUCAUGUUGUGCCGCUCAUCGCCAGUGCAUCCCAGCAGCAGGCAUCAUCGGAGGGAGAUCAUCAAGACUUGAAGUGGAGAGUGCUAUCUUCCUCGUGGCUGCAUCCGGAUGUCUUCACUAAGCUACUAUAGAUCUGCCGAUUGGAUAAAUGAUAUUGAUUCGAGACGAGCGUCUCGACGUGGGAUUGUUUGGCACGAUCAAUAGAUAAAGGUAGCAGGUAGAUUUUUGAAGUCGCUUGGAGUUUCUUUUCUGUCGGUUCCCACGUUACAUCCGAAGACAUGUUUCUGGUUUUCAUUUGUACUUUAUUUAGUCUAUGUUUUUGGUUUAUUUAGUAAUGUAAAUUUAGGAUUUGGUUCCAGAGUAUUGUUAUGUGGUAUUUUUGUUUGAUUGUUGUGUUGUGUAAGCCUAGCCGGAUAACAGUCUUGUUUUUUGUUUGUAAUGGUUUUCUAUCGUUUCCGUUGUCUUUUAUUUUUAAUACAGCCGUGUGGACUGUUUAGUAUAUAUAACUGCGUGAUUGUGUUUUUAGUACAGUCGUGUGAGCUAUUUAAUAUAUAACUGUGUGGUUGUAUAUAUUUUCUAGCCGUGUAUGGC